rnacentral:rRNA from 1 species
UUAAGCGACUAAGCGUACACGGUGGAUGCCCUGGCAGUCAGAGGCGAUGAAGGACGUGCUAAUCUGCGAUAAGCGUCGGUAAGGUGAUAUGAACCGUUAUAACCGGCGAUUUCCGAAUGGGGAAACCCAGUGUGAUUCGUCACACUAUCAUUAACUGAAUCCAUAGGUUAAUGAGGCGAACCGGGGGAACUGAAACAUCUAAGUACCCCGAGGAAAAGAAAUCAACCGAGAUUCCCCCAGUAGCGGCGAGCGAACGGGGAGCAGCCCAGAGCCUGAAUCAGUGUGUGUGUUAGUGGAAGCGUCUGGAAAGGCGCGCGAUACAGGGUGACAGCCCCGUACACAAAAAUGCAUAUACUGUGAGCUCGAUGAGUAGGGCGGGACACGUGGUAUCCUGUCUGAAUAUGGGGGGACCAUCCUCCAAGGCUAAAUACUCCUGACUGACCGAUAGUGAACCAGUACCGUGAGGGAAAGGCGAAAAGAACCCCGGCGAGGGGAGUGAAAAAGAACCUGAAACCGUGUACGUACAAGCAGUGGGAGCCUCUUUAUGGGGUGACUGCGUACCUUUUGUAUAAUGGGUCAGCGACUUAUAUUCUGUAGCAAGGUUAACCGAAUAGGGGAGCCGAAGGGAAACCGAGUCUUAACUGGGCGUUAAGUUGCAGGGUAUAGACCCGAAACCCGGUGAUCUAGCCAUGGGCAGGUUGAAGGUUGGGUAACACUAACUGGAGGACCGAACCGACUAAUGUUGAAAAAUUAGCGGAUGACUUGUGGCUGGGGGUGAAAGGCCAAUCAAACCGGGAGAUAGCUGGUUCUCCCCGAAAGCUAUUUAGGUAGCGCCUCGUGAAUUCAUCUCCGGGGGUAGAGCACUGUUUCGGCAAGGGGGUCAUCCCGACUUACCAACCCGAUGCAAACUGCGAAUACCGGAGAAUGUUAUCACGGGAGACACACGGCGGGUGCUAACGUCCGUCGUGAAGAGGGAAACAACCCAGACCGCCAGCUAAGGUCCCAAAGUCAUGGUUAAGUGGGAAACGAUGUGGGAAGGCCCAGACAGCCAGGAUGUUGGCUUAGAAGCAGCCAUCAUUUAAAGAAAGCGUAAUAGCUCACUGGUCGAGUCGGCCUGCGCGGAAGAUGUAACGGGGCUAAACCAUGCACCGAAGCUGCGGCAGCGACGCUUAUGCGUUGUUGGGUAGGGGAGCGUUCUGUAAGCCUGUGAAGGUGUGCUGUGAGGCAUGCUGGAGGUAUCAGAAGUGCGAAUGCUGACAUAAGUAACGAUAAAGCGGGUGAAAAGCCCGCUCGCCGGAAGACCAAGGGUUCCUGUCCAACGUUAAUCGGGGCAGGGUGAGUCGACCCCUAAGGCGAGGCCGAAAGGCGUAGUCGAUGGGAAACAGGUUAAUAUUCCUGUACUUGGUGUUACUGCGAAGGGGGGACGGAGAAGGCUAUGUUGGCCGGGCGACGGUUGUCCCGGUUUAAGCGUGUAGGCUGGUUUUCCAGGCAAAUCCGGAAAAUCAAGGCUGAGGCGUGAUGACGAGGCACUACGGUGCUGAAGCAACAAAUGCCCUGCUUCCAGGAAAAGCCUCUAAGCAUCAGGUAACAUCAAAUCGUACCCCAAACCGACACAGGUGGUCAGGUAGAGAAUACCAAGGCGCUUGAGAGAACUCGGGUGAAGGAACUAGGCAAAAUGGUGCCGUAACUUCGGGAGAAGGCACGCUGAUAUGUAGGUGAAGUCCCUCGCGGAUGGAGCUGAAAUCAGUCGAAGAUACCAGCUGGCUGCAACUGUUUAUUAAAAACACAGCACUGUGCAAACACGAAAGUGGACGUAUACGGUGUGACGCCUGCCCGGUGCCGGAAGGUUAAUUGAUGGGGUUAGCGGUAACGCGAAGCUCUUGAUCGAAGCCCCGGUAAACGGCGGCCGUAACUAUAACGGUCCUAAGGUAGCGAAAUUCCUUGUCGGGUAAGUUCCGACCUGCACGAAUGGCGUAAUGAUGGCCAGGCUGUCUCCACCCGAGACUCAGUGAAAUUGAACUCGCUGUGAAGAUGCAGUGUACCCGCGGCAAGACGGAAAGACCCCGUGAACCUUUACUAUAGCUUGACACUGAACAUUGAGCCUUGAUGUGUAGGAUAGGUGGGAGGCUUUGAAGUGUGGACGCCAGUCUGCAUGGAGCCGACCUUGAAAUACCACCCUUUAAUGUUUGAUGUUCUAACGUUGGCCCCUGAUCGGGGUUGCGGACAGUGUCUGGUGGGUAGUUUGACUGGGGCGGUCUCCUCCUAAAGAGUAACGGAGGAGCACGAAGGUUGGCUAAUCCUGGUCGGACAUCAGGAGGUUAGUGCAAUGGCAUAAGCCAGCUUGACUGCGAGCGUGACGGCGCGAGCAGGUGCGAAAGCAGGUCAUAGUGAUCCGGUGGUUCUGAAUGGAAGGGCCAUCGCUCAACGGAUAAAAGGUACUCCGGGGAUAACAGGCUGAUACCGCCCAAGAGUUCAUAUCGACGGCGGUGUUUGGCACCUCGAUGUCGGCUCAUCACAUCCUGGGGCUGAAGUAGGUCCCAAGGGUAUGGCUGUUCGCCAUUUAAAGUGGUACGCGAGCUGGGUUUAGAACGUCGUGAGACAGUUCGGUCCCUAUCUGCCGUGGGCGCUGGAGAACUGAGGGGGGCUGCUCCUAGUACGAGAGGACCGGAGUGGACGCAUCACUGGUGUUCGGGUUGUCAUGCCAAUGGCACUGCCCGGUAGCUAAAUGCGGAAGAGAUAAGUGCUGAAAGCAUCUAAGCACGAAACUUGCCCCGAGAUGAGUUCUCCCUGACUCCUUGAGAGUCCUGAAGGAACGUUGAAGACGACGACGUUGAUAGGCCGGGUGUGUAAGCGCAGCGAUGCGUUGAGCUAACCGGUACUAAUGAACCGUGAGGCUUAACCUU